AUGGAGUUGCAGUAUAGAACUUGGGUUUGGUUGAGAAAUGAUUUAUCGGGUGUGGAAGGUGCACCUAAUCUCAUGGAUCGUGCGAGACAUGAAAGAGUCUUGAAGGCUAGAAGCCAUCCAAGAAAUACCAUUCCAAGACCCCAUCCACUUGCUGCAAUGUUUCCAUCUGAUGAAAUAUCGCAGGACAAAAGUUUCACAGCAACACUUCCAAAACUUGAAUGGUCUAUGGUGAAUCAAUACCAAGAUUAUAAUUGA